rnacentral:rRNA from 1 species
GAUGAACGCUGGCGGCGUGCCUAAUACAUGCAAGUCGAGCGAAAAGACCAGGACUUUGCUCCUCUGACUUUAGCGGGGGACGGGUGCGUAACACGUGGAUAACCUACCUAUAAGACUGGGCUAACUUCGGGAGACAGGAGCUAAUAACGGAUAAUAUAUUGAACCGCAUGGUUCAAUAGUGCAAGUAGGUUUUGCUGUCACUUAUAGAUGGAUCCGCGCCGCAUUAGCUAGUUGGUAAGGUAACGGCUUACCAAGGCUACGAUGCGUAGCCGACCUGAGAGGGAGAUCGGCCACACGGUAACUGAGACACGGUCCAGACUCCUACGCGAGGCAGCAGUAGAGACUCUUCCGCGAUGGACGAAAGCCUGACGGAGCAACGCCGCGUGAGUGAUGAAGGUCUUCGGAUGGUAAAACUCUGUAAUUAGGGAAGAUCAAAUGUGUAAGUAACUAUGCACGUCUUGACGGUACCUAAUCAGAAAGCCACGGCUAACUACGUG